ACAUAGUUUAUUGGCAAUAUUACAUCAGGAAGAAAAUUAUCUUCAAAUCUUAAGCUUUGUACAGUUCAACUAAAUGUUCGUAGUGUAGGAUCAAUGUAGCAUCUGGAUCACAGUUGGCAUUAGCACACUCUGAAUCAGGCCCAGUGACUGUAUUUGUUGUAGCUGCUCCUUCAUUCACACCUGUCAUGUCUCUUGAAAUUGUAGGCCGUUGAAUCCACAUGUGCAGAAGGAGGACUGGGUGAAAUGCGAGACAUGCAAUGGCUGACUGCACAAAGACUGUGCCUGUUAUGAGCCCAGUCAGGCAUUUUCACAUGUGGGUGUGACCUGCCUGGGCCAUACGCCUUCACCAGUACUUUGACCUGCCUCAAGAACAAAGGGGUUGAAGGCCUAAUUUCCAAGGAAAGAAUAAAGAUUUGCAUUGUUUAUUCCAAAUCCAACAGGAUGUUCCUUUGGCAAAACCCUGGGGGAAACCGUGCCCUGAAAAUAAUCCUUAACGGAAAGCCAACAUGUUUCAAUGAGAAACACAUGAAUGACCUCAUUGAUUUGAUAAAGCCAAAGUUGUCGUUGGAUUACAGCCUCCUCCCAAACAUUGACUUUGUCAUUGAUGUCAUGGUGCCAGAGGCCACAAUUGACAUCCUGGUGAGAUUUGAGGGUUUUUCCAGAUUUUAUGCAGAGAAAAUCCUUGCAAUGAUGGAGUGAUCAGGUGCUGGAUCAAUCAAGAUGAUUCGACUGUUACUUUUGUUACUGCACUGUAGGCUACUUGAGUUGAAUUUUUAAAGAAAGUUUUAAAUUUUUGU